CCUACGGGUGGCUGCAGUAAGGAAUAUUCGUCAAUGGCCGAACGGCUGAACCAGCCAUGCCGCGUGAAGGUCAGUGCCCUAUGGACGUUAAACUUCUUUUGUGCGGGAGCAAUAAUGGUCACGUGUGGCCAGACGAGAGUACCGUACGAAUAAGCAUCGGCUAACUCCGUGCCAGCAGCCGCGGUAAUACGGGGGAUGCAAGCGUUAUCCGGAUUUAUUGGGUUUAAAGGGUGCGUAGGGUGUGAGGUAAGUCAGCGGUGAAAUGCCCCCGCUCACCGGGGUGAAGUGCCAUUGAUACUGGCGUGCUGGAAUGCGGAUGCGGUGGGAGGAAUGUGUGGUGUAGCGGUGAAAUGCAUAGAGAUCACACAGAACACCGAUUGCGAAGGCAUCUCACGAAUCCGCGAUUGACGCUGAUGCACGAAAGCGUGGGUAUCAAACAGGAUUAGAUACCCGGGUAGUC
rnacentral:rRNA from 1 species